AAUGGGUCAGCGACUUAUAUUCUGUAGCAAGGUUAACCGAAUAGGGGAGCCGAAGGGAAACCGAGUCUUAACUGGGCGUUAAGUUGCAGGGUAUAGACCCGAAACCCGGUGAUCUAGCCAUGGGCAGGUUGAAGGUUGGGUAACACUAACUGGAGGACCGAACCGACUAAUGUUGAAAAAUUAGCGGAUGACUUGUGGCUGGGGGUGAAAGGCCAAUCAAACCGGGAGAUAGCUGGUUCUCCCCGAAAGCUAUUUAGGUAGCGCCUCGUGAAUUCAUCUCCGGGGGUAGAGCACUGUUUCGGCAAGGGGGUCAUCCCGACUUACCAACCCGAUGCAAACUGCGAAUACCGGAGAAUGUUAUCACGGGAGACACACGGCGGGUGCUAACGUCCGUCGUGAAGAGGGAAACAACCCAGACCGCCAGCUAAGGUCCCAAAGUCAUGGUUAAGUGGGAAACGAUGUGGGAAGGCCCAGACAGCCAGGAUGUUGGCUUAGAAGCAGCCAUCAUUUAAAGAAAGCGUAAUAGCUCACUGGUCGAGUCGGCCUGCGCGGAAGAUGUAACGGGGCUAAACCAUGCACCGAAGCUGCGGCAGCGACGCUUAUGCGUUGUUGGGUAGGGGAGCGUUCUGUAAGCCUGUGAAGGUGUACUGUGAGGUAUGCUGGAGGUAUCAGAAGUGCGAAUGCUGACAUAAGUAACGAUAAAGCGGGUGAAAAGCCCGCUCGCCGGAAGACCAAGGGUUCCUGUCCAACGUUAAUCGGGGCAGGGUGAGUCGACCCCUAAGGCGAGGCCGAAAGGCGUAGUCGAUGGGAAACAGGUUAAUAUUCCUGUACUUGGUGUUACUGCGAAGGGGGGACGGAGAAGGCUAUGUUAGCCGGGCGACGGUUGUCCCGGUUUAAGCAUGUAGGCGGAGGUUCCAGGUAAAUCCGGUACCUUAUUAACGCUGAGGUGUGAUGACGAGGCACUACGGUGCUGAAGUAACAAAUGCCCUGCUUCCAGGAAAAGCCUCUAAGCAUCAGGUAACAUCAAAUCGUACCCCAAACCGACACAGGUGGUCAGGUAGAGAAUACCAAGGCGCUUGAGAGAACUCGGGUGAAGGAACUAGGCAAAAUGGUGCCGUAACUUCGGGAGAAGGCACGCUGAUAUGUAGGUGAAGUCCCUCGCGGAUGGAGCUGAAAUCAGUCGAAGAUACCAGCUGGCUGCAACUGUUUAUUAAAAACACAGCACUGUGCAAACACGAAAGUGGACGUAUACGGUGUGACGCCUGCCCGGUGCCGGAAGGUUAAUUGAUGGGGUUAGCGGUAACGCGAAGCUCUUGAUCGAAGCCCCGGUAAACGGCGGCCGUAACUAUAACGGUCCUAAGGUAGCGAAAUUCCUUGUCGGGUAAGUUCCGACCUGCACGAAUGGCGUAAUGAUGGCCAGGCUGUCUCCACCCGAGACUCAGUGAAAUUGAACUCGCUGUGAAGAUGCAGUGUACCCGCGGCAAGACGGAAAGACCCCGUGAACCUUUACUAUAGCUUGACACUGAACAUUGAGCCUUGAUGUGUAGGAUAGGUGGGAGGCUUUGAAGUGUGGACGCCAGUCUGCAUGGAGCCGACCUUGAAAUACCACCCUUUAAUGUUUGAUGUUCUAACGUUGGCCCCUGAUCGGGGUUGCGGACAGUGUCUGGUGGGUAGUUUGACUGGGGCGGUCUCCUCCUAAAGAGUAACGGAGGAGCACGAAGGUUGGCUAAUCCUGGUCGGACAUCAGGAGGUUAGUGCAAUGGCAUAAGCCAGCUUGACUGCGAGCGUGACGGCGCGAGCAGGUGCGAAAGCAGGUCAUAGUGAUCCGGUGGUUCUGAAUGGAAGGGCCAUCGCUCAACGGAUAAAAGGUACUCCGGGGAUAACAGGCUGAUACCGCCCAAGAGUUCAUAUCGACGGCGGUGUUUGGCACCUCGAUGUCGGCUCAUCACAUCCUGGGGCUGAAGUAGGUCCCAAGGGUAUGGCUGUUCGCCAUUUAAAGUGGUACGCGAGCUGGGUUUAGAACGUCGUGAGACAGUUCGGUCCCUAUCUGCCGUGGGCGCUGGAGAACUGAGGGGGGCUGCUCCUAGUACGAGAGGACCGGAGUGGACGCAUCACUGGUGUUCGGGUUGUCAUGCCAAUGGCACUGCCCGGUAGCUAAAUGCGGAAGAGAUAAGUGCUGAAAGCAUCUAAGCACGAAACUUGCCCCGAGAUGAGUUCUCCCUGACUCCUUGAGAGUCCUGAAGGAACGUUGAAGACGACGACGUUGAUAGGCCGGGUGUGUAAGCGCAGCGAUGCGUUGAGCUAACCGGUACUAAUGAACCGUGAGGCUUAACCUU
rnacentral:rRNA from 1 species